GGGGGUAUAGCUUAGUGGUAGAGCACAAGCUGAGUACCGGCUUCUAUCCCCAGUACCUCCA
rnacentral:tRNA from 1 species